rnacentral:rRNA from 1 species
AACGUAGGUUCCGAGCGUUAUCCGGAUUUACUGGGCGUAAAGCGCGUUCAGGCGGUUCGGCAAGUCGGGCAUGAAAUCUCUCGGCUCAACCGGGAGAGGUUGUCCGAUACUGCUGGACUUGAGGGCAGUAGAGGGUGGUGGAAUUCCGGGUGUAGUGGUGAAAUGCGUAGAUAUCUGGAGGAACACCGGUGGCGAAGGCGGCAUCCUGGACCGGUAUUGACGCUGAUGCGCGAAAGCCAGGGGAGCAAACGGG